CUGAGCCACUGUGCUAACCUGGAACCUCCUGACUGCCGAAUGCAAAGGGAAUUCAGCCCAAUUCCAACUGUCCCAGGAUAAAAUCCCAUUGCUAGCAGCUGUGAUUUAAAAACAGCACCAAGAGAAAAUUCAUAGAGAGGAGCUGCCAGGAGACAUUCACUAAAACUUUCAACUCGGUGGAGACCCCAAUAAUUUCUGAUGUUACUGAGAAACCGAAACCCAGAAAUCCUAAUCUGUGAAAGCUGACCACACCCAUUCCAUCUGCAUUAAAAUAAACCCAAGGCAUCACUAGUUGUUUAUUCAAGUGGUCCUAACUAGCCAGCUUGGUAACGGUCAUUCAAUCUCUCUCUUAAAAUAAACCAGAACAAAAUAACUUCUUAAAGCUACAGCAUCAUCACACUAGUCAGCACAUCGAGCUGUCAUUCAGGAACCAGGGGUAACACAAUCAGGCCUUUGACCCAAUCGGACGAGGAAGAAGCCAGUCAGUCCCUUGAGUGACUUACACAGGAACAGUAGGAGGCCAUUCCCACCUCAAUGCACUUACACGGGGCAGAAUGAGGUAAUUGAUGCUGAUUCCUGAUGAACGGCUUAUGCUCGAAACGUCGAUUCUCCUGCUGUGCUUUUCCAGCAAACCACUGUCUACUCUGAUCUUCAGCAUCAACAGUCCUCGCUGUCUCCUAAUUGAUGCUCUAACAUGAUGACCAAGUGGAGCAGAGGCUGCACACACAGACUGCUCCACGUUGUUCCUCGUAGCUCCGUCUGUCAUGAUACACACGUGGGACUUUAACGUGGUUUUCUCGCGGUGAGGAGGGAAGCCAUAUGUCUUGUGUGAAGUUACAAGAAGGCUCCUUCCAUCUCCGGGAAGCCAGCCUGGUGUUCUCUAUGUAGGGUGGAUGCUGAUGGGAAUGGCUACCUGUUUCAGAUGGAAGGUAUUGUGGCUGCUGUUGGGGAUUGUGAGCAACCUGACGUUCAGUUCGGGUUCACACGCCGACUACACAAUAACGUGGGGAGAGUUAAUUAAGGCAUAUAAACUAUUAGGAAAGUCACGUUAGACUGAUGGAUGGACUCUCUAAAUUCAAAUAAUGCUGAUCUUGUUCAUGUUGAUCUUGUCUAGUGCACAUCCUGUUCAAUGUAACCGUUAUGCCUUACUCUGUCCAAGUCUAUUUCCACCCUAUGAUCUGUCUGGCCAUGUUUACUAUGAUCUGCCUCCACUGCUCAUAAAUAAAGUGUUUCCCUGUACUGAGGUACACGUGACAAUAAAUCAAACCAAUAACUCC